AGCGCUGAAGACUGGUACUUGUACCGGUUGGAUGAGCAGCGAACGGGUGAGUAACGCGUGGGUAACCUGCCCUAUAGAGGGGGAUAACUAGAGGAAACUUUAGCUAAUACCGCAUAAAAUCUAAUAACACAUGUUAUAAGAUUGAAAGUGCCAACUGGUACACUAUAGGAUGGACCCGCGUUGUAUUAGCUAGUUGGUGAGGUAAAGGCUCACCAAGGCGAUGAUACAUAGCCGACCUGAGAGGGUGAUCGGCCACACUGGGACUGAGACACGGCCCAGACUCCUACGGGAGGCAGCAGUAGGGAAUCUUCGGCAAUGGACGAAAGUCUGACCGAGCAACGCCGCGUGAGUGAAGAAGGUUUUCGGAUCGUAAAACUCUGUUGUAAGAGAAGAACACCAGUAAGAGUGGAAAGCUUACUGGCUGACGGUAUCUUACCAGAAAGCCACGGCUAACUACGUGCCAGCAGCCGCGGUAAUACGUAGGUGGCAAGCGUUGUCCGGAUUUAUUGGGCGUAAAGCGAGCGCAGGUGGUUUAAUAAGUCUGAUGUAAAAGGCAGUGGCUCAACCAUUGUGUGCAUUGGAAACUGUUAGACUUGAGUGCAGUAGAGGAGAGUGGAAUUCCAUGUGUAGCGGUGAAAUGCGUAGAUAUAUGGAGGAACACCGGUGGCGAAAGCGGCUCUCUGGACUGUCACUGACACUGAGGCUCGAAAGCGUGGGUAGCAAACAGGAUUAGAUACCCUGGUAGUCCACGCCGUAAACGAUGAGUGCUAGUUGUUUGGGGCUAUCCAGCCCUAAGU
rnacentral:rRNA from 1 species